rnacentral:rRNA from 1 species
AUGGGUGUGUCCCCAGAAGGGAGGAGGCUCCGUGAGGAGGUGGGCAGCGAGGUUGCUCACCUUCAGUCGGGGACCCCGACGAUGGCCGGUGGGAUCAUCGGGGACCCUGGCGGCGGCGGGCGCGACCUAAUUACAGGAGGCGUCGCUUGGUAUAAUCCACGGCCGGCGGCGGCGCCCAGGACCAAGGUGGAUCGGGCCAGAGGUGGUGUUACAUGGCGGCGGUUAGAAGAAGGUGGGGCGAUUGUGGGGGCCUGGUGUGGCGGCAGGAGGAACGUGGUGGGUGGUGGCGGGGAGUGA